CUGGGCCUCUGGCGCUCUCCUCUGCAACAGAAGUAGUGAGCUCUGCAAGGGUGAGAUAUAAACUUAUUCACCAAGUUCCUUCCCAGCACUUAUGCUUAUUGUAUUGGGGUGGAAAGAGGAAGAGGAAACAGACAUCUGUCUUCUUAUAUGACUGCCUGCUAUGGCAUCACUUUUCCUAUUUGUUAUUACCACAGGUACAAACUGUUGCCUAAGGAUACAGGGUGUGUGGCUGGUGGCCUCAACAGGCCCCACGGCUCAGGCACUCAGACCCAAGCUGGUCCCUCAGGCUUCCGUUUUAUCAGCCCAUAUUACUAAAUGCCUGACUUCAGAAAAAAAACGUAAACAAAAGACAGAGAUUGGAAGCAUCAGAAUUUUAUUCCAGUGACUCAAUCCCCAUUGUGUGAAGUAGACCAGAAUGAAUAAAUUGAACUUACUCAGCACCUCAAUUAUUAAAUGUAUCCACAGAAAUUCAUUCUGUCAAGUUAACUGUGGAGGUUGUUGUUGCUAUUGCAGGUCAGACUAAAUGGUUUUCCUGGGAACUCUGACUCUGGCCACAAGAUCAAGACUGACAAAUUUCCUUUCUCUGUUUAUGGAGGGAGACUUCACAACAUUCACUGAAAGAGGAGCAAAGGACCUGGUUUUUGCCAUGACUGGCUUUGGCCCCGUGAAUGAAUGUUUUUCUGGCAUUGGAAAGCGGAUAGCAAAGAGAGCAGAACCACAAAUGGGCUAUGAGGAAAUGUGUUCAAUGAAGAAAACAAAAUCUCUGACAAGAUCCAACAUAGGACAACAUCUCAGCAUCUUCUGUGAUUUGUGAACCCAAGUAAAGCACUUCUUAGAGUUAUCUGGCACAUUCGCAACUAAUAGCUUUCUGUGAAUAAAUACUGUGGCAACCACGUUAACUGUACAAAAACAAAUUGCUUAUUUCUUAUAUCCAUGCUGGAAGAUUAUCUGGCUGACCUUAUCAGCUGUGAUGUCAGGAAUGUCAGCCAGUUAUCCUGUGGUGCAUUCAGCUGGGUCAUUGUACCCCAUCAGUGAGGCAAUUGCAAAGUUCCAUCUGGACAGAGGUAGAAAAAAUUAUAUUCACUUUGAGUUUUGGAUUUUUUUCUCUUAAUUUUCAAAGAUAAAGACAAUUGCUUUUGGCUUUUAAGAGACACAUCUGGUAUGCCUUGGGCUGGAUGCCAGAUAUUUCUGCUGUUGAGUUUUUAUAACAUUAUAUAGGCCUCAAUAUUUUAGAACUAGUAUACAUUUGAUAAAAGUGACUUUUCUAAAGUUUUAGGGAGAAUCUUUUGCUUAGGUGCAGCUGAGUAUUUUUAGUUCAGUACUACAGAUGGCAUACCAAAUUUAAGAGGAGUUGAGUGACUGCUUCAAGGUUGCACAGCUAGUUCUUGGUAGAUCUGGAAAAGGACCAACAUCUCUUGGCCCUUUGUCAGAUAUUCUUUCUUUGAUUUCACACUGUUUUUAAAGAUGCUUAAUACAUUUUAAAUUAAAAUGGUUAUUUGAAUCUGCUUAAACUAGACAAUACUAAUUGUCAAACAUCCAUUACCUGCUUUUUCUCUAGUAACAGAUUGGUGCAAAAAGAAUUGCGGUUUUUGCCAUUACUUUUAAUGGCAUUAAUUACUUUUAAUGGCAAAAACCUUAGUUCCUUUUGCACCAGCCUAAUAAUAAAACCCCUAAUUUUAACUUGGCACGUGGCCAACCAGAAUAGAAACUACAUGUUCCUGCUUUGCUUUCAGUAGCAUUAGCUGAAGUAAUCUUCAAUGGGGAUAGGAAAAAUGAGGUGCACAACUGCCUGGUUGCACUCUUAUAGGAAAGGCAUAACCCUCCAUUUCCCUUUUAUCUUUUCCACUCACUAGAGUAGUGAUCUGGUCAUAAUUCAUUCUGGACCAUGUUGACAGGGCAAUAUACUGGAGAUUGUAGAGAAGAAGUCAGAAGGGACUUGGAUCCCUGAUACUAUGGAACUGUCUUGCAGCCCUAGUUUGCUUAUGUCUAGACUUUUAUGCAAGAGAAAAAAUAAACAUUUCUUUGUUUUAACUACUGAUACUUAGAUCUUAGCUACAGCAACUGAACACACAAUGCUAUUUAAUAAUUUGCAAAUGUUAUACUGCCAGUUGAUAUUUUAUAACUACCAAAUUUAAGUGCAGUAAAUGGGCAUUAUGCUUGUUUAAAUGUCUGGCAAUCUUGGAAUUAUACCAUUACCAUCAUAUGUUGCAUGAGAUGGUUUUCCAUUCCAUUUAGAGUCCGUACAAUAACUCAUACAAUGUGUCACUACUGCUGUCUCUUCUCAGCGGGCUUCAACCAUACUUAUUUCUUUGCCGUUCCUAAACAUUCCAGAUAUACUCAGUGUUCCUUCCUCAGGGUAAAUGUUGUUUUGUUGGUGGUGUGGUUUGUUUUUUUUUUAAUUCCUCUGCAGCAAAUCUCUGCCUAGCAUUCUGCAUGUAGUAUUGUGCUUCCACAAUUUUAGAAUUUUGCUCAGUUGUUAUCUUUUCAUUAAGUCCUUUCCUGAUGACAUCAAUAAAUUUC
rnacentral:lncRNA from 10 species